GAUGAACGCUGGCGGCGUGCCUAAUACAUGCAAGUCGAGCGAACAGACGAGGAUCUUGCUCCUCUGACGUUAGCGGCGGACGGGUGAGUAACACGUGGAUAACCUACCUAUAAGACUGGGAUAACUUCGGGAAACCGGAGCUAAUACCGGAUAAUAUAUUGAACCGCAUGGUUCAAUAGUGAAAGACGGUUUUGCUGUCACUUAUAGAUGGAUCCGCGCCGCAUUAGCUAGUUGGUACGGUAACGGCUUACCAAGGCCACGAUGCGUAGCCGACCUGAGAGGGUGAACGGCCACACAGGAACUGAGACACGGCCCAGAGUCCUACGGGAGGCAGCAGUAGGGAAUCUUCCGCAAUGGGCGAAAGCCUGACGGAGCAACGCCGCGUGAGUGAUGAAGGUCUUCGGAUCGUAAAACUCUGUUAUUGGGGAAGAACAAAUGUGUAAGGAACUAUGCACGUCUUGACGGUACCUAAUCAGAAAGCCACGGCUAACUACGUG
rnacentral:rRNA from 1 species